rnacentral:rRNA from 1 species
CGGGGUGCAGCAGUGGGGAAUUUUGGACAAUGGGGGCAACCCUGAUCCAGCAAUGCCGCGUGAGUGAAGAAGGCCUUCGGGUUGUAAAGCUCUUUUGUCAGGGAAGAAACGGUUUCUCCUAAUAUGGGGAGCUAAUGACGGUACCUGAAGAAUAAGCACCGGCUAACUACGUGCCAGCAGCCGCGGUAAUACGUAGGGUGCAAGCGUUAAUCGGAAUUACUGGGCGUAAAGCGUGCGCAGGCGGUUAUGUAAGUCAGAUGUGAAAUCCCCGGGCUCAACCUGGGAAUGGCAUUUGAGACUGCAUGGCUAGAGUGUGUCAGAGGGGGGUAGAAUUCCACGUGUAGCAGUGAAAUGCGUAGAGAUGUGGAGGAAUACCGAUGGCGAAGGCAGCCCCCUGGGAUAACACUGACGCUCAUGCACGAAAGCGUGGGGAGCAAACAGGAUUAGAUACCCCUGU